rnacentral:snRNA from 1 species
CGAUGUGAGGGCAAUCUGGCCGUGACAUCUCUCACCCCAUUAAUCGCCAGGCUUGAUUCGGCUGAUCUGGCUGGCGAGGCGGGUGUCCCCUUCCUCCCUCACCACUCCAUGAGCAUCCCUCCCGAAGCUGCACACUAGGUCGAAGAGGAUGGUCUUCCUCGAAUAGAGACAGACUGGUCUUUGGUCAAGGGUAUUAGAGUAGCUGCGCUCCCCUGCUAGAACCUCCAAACAAGGUCUCAAGGUCCAAAGACUCUUUUGUCAUAUACAUAAAGUUGACCACCUCUUCUUU